UACAGAGGGUGCGAGCGUUGUCCGGAAUCACUGGGCGUAAAGGGCGCGUAGGUGGCGGCCCAAGUCCAUGGUGAAAGCUCGAUGCUCAACAUCGAGUCGGCCACGGAUACUGGGUUGCUCGAGCACUGUAGGGGCAGAUGGAAUUCCGGGUGUAGCGGUGGAAUGCGUAGAGAUCGGGAAGAACAUCAGUGGCGAAGGCGGCCUGCUGGGCUGUUGCUGACGCUGAGGCGCGACAGCGUGGGGAGCAAACAGG
rnacentral:rRNA from 1 species